CCAGUGAGGGUAUUAAGGACGGCACGUUGUCCUUGUAACAGGGAUCCAGCAGGGUGGCCACCCAGUAAUCAGCACAAGUUAGAAUGUGGGCAACUCAGCAGUUGUUGCGCAGGCACUUUGGUGACUCUAGAUAACCUCGGGCCGAUCGCACAUCUCCGUGACGGCGAUGACACAUUCGGAUGUCUGCCCUAUCAACUUUCGAUGUUACUUUCUGCACCUACCAUGGUGAACACGGGUAAUGGGGAAUCAGGGUUCGAUUCCG